UCAUGUAGAAUUCCCUAAAUGUGAAGCUGCCCAGUCUCAGUAAGAAAUCCUAAUCUUGGAAGCUAAGCAGGGUCGGGCCUGGUUAGUACUUGGAUGGGAGACCACCUAAGAAUACCAGGUGCUGUAGGCA
ensembl:rRNA 5S_rRNA 5S ribosomal RNA